UACGGAGGUGACCAGCGUUGUCCGGAUUUACUGGGCGUAAAGAGCGCGCAGGCGGUCGUUCAAGUCGAGUGUGAAAGCCCCCGGCUCAACUGGGGAGGGUCAUUCGAUACUGAUCGACUUGAAGGCAGGAGAGGGAAGUGGAAUUCCCGGUGUAGUGGUGAAAUGCGUAGAUAUCGGGAGGAACACCAGUGGCGAAGGCGACUUCCUGGCCUGUUCUUGACGCUGAGGCGCGAAAGCUAGGGGAGCAAACGGG
rnacentral:rRNA from 1 species